rnacentral:ribozyme from 14 species
AAAUAAUAAUCAUCAUCAUGUAAUAAACAAUGAUGAAAGCAUUAUUGAACAGAUGAAAAAAAUGAUCACAGAUGCUCCUUCUUUUUCUUCUUCUUCUUGGUUUUCUUCUUCUUUUUCUUUUCCUCCU